rnacentral:sRNA from 1 species
GCCGGGUGCGGUGGCACACGCCUGUAAUCCCAGUGGCUCAGGAGGCUGAGAUGGGAGAAUUGCAGGUUCAAAGCCAGACUCAGCAAUCAAUCGUGAGGUGCUAAGCAACUCAGCAAGACCCUGUCUCUC